UACAACCUUGACAGAAAUCCAGAGCAGGAGACGGUGAGUGUCCCGGCGGAUCUGCUGCUCAGCUUCAACGAAGAUGAGAGUCCUUGUAGGUGGUGGGUCGGGGUUUGUGGGUCGAGAGCUGACACGGUUGCUACGCAAGGAAGGCCAUGAGGUCACGAUCAUCUCCCGACAGCCGGGUCCUGGGAGGAUCACCUGGGAUGACUUGGAGGCUGGCGGCCUCCCACCAUGUGAGGGCGCUGUUAACUUGGCUGGAGAGAACCUCAUGAAUCCCCUGCGCUGGUGGAACGAGAGUUACAAGAAGGAUCUGUUCUCCAGUCGGGUCGAUACGACCAGAGCCCUCGCCCGGGCUAUCUGUGCCUCCCCCCAGCCCCCUCAUGCUUGGGUCCUCGUCACAGGUGUGGCCUGCUAUAAGCCCAGCCAGACGGAGCAGUACACAGAGGACAGCUCCUGGGCUCCCUUUGACCUCCUGUCUCAGCUGGUGAAGGAGUGGGAGGGGGCGGCACGUCUGCCCGAAAACAUCGCUACAGAAACCAGACAGGUGAUCAUCAGGCCAGGGGCAGUACUGGGCCGGGACGGCGGGGCAAUGAAACAGAUGCUCACCCCGUUCUGGCUGGGUUUGGGGGGCACCCUGGGCUCUGGCCAGCAGCCCUUCCCCUGGAUCCACGUGUCCGACCUGGCCGGGAUAAUCGCCCACUCCCUGCAGCCCCCCUCCUGCCCCCCGUCCAGUGCCCCCGAGGUCUUCAAUGGGGUCGCCCCGGCGCAGAACACCAACUCCGAGUUUACCAAGGAACUGGGGCGCACGCUGGGCCGGCCCACGCUGCUGCCGGUGCCGGGCGGGGUUCUGAGGGCGCUGCUGGGGUCGGAGCGUGCCGUGGUGCUGACCGAGGGCCAGCGCGUGCUACCCCACAGGACCCUGCAGGCCGGGUACCGCUUCCGGUACCCCGACUUGAAGGCCGCCCUGUGCCAAAUAGUGGGCAGUUAACAGCUACAGCCCUGCAGAACCGGCUCGCUCUGGAGGCCUACAGCAAACACAGCCGGCCUCGGACUCUCUGUGCAUUACCCACAAUUCCCCUCAGCUCGCUGUGCUGCCGGCAGGACUGACCCUGUAGGAUUAACUGUAGGCGGCGUGAUGCACACAGUCUCCAGGAAGGAGACUCAUCACCGCUGAGCGCUUGGUGUCUCCAUGGAAAUCACACUUCUGUGUCUUUACUCUGUCUGCACUUCACUCUCUGACCUGGUCUUUCCACAAAUGUGUUUGCACUGAGAGACGGUUAACUGCACAGUGAGAACAUCCAUCCCCACGGUGAAAGCAGCUCCAUCCAGCUCACU